rnacentral:rRNA from 1 species
GAUGAACGCUGGCGGCGUGCCUAAUACAUGCAAGUCGAGCGAACAGACGAGGAGCUUGCUCCUCUGACGUUAGCGGCGGACGGGUGAGUAACACGUGGAUAACCUACCUAUAAGACUGGGAUAACUUCGGGAAACCGGAGCUAAUACCGGAUAACAUGUUGAACCGCAUGGUUCAACAGUGAAAGACGGUCUUGCUGUCACUUAUAGAUGGAUCCGCGCCGCAUUAGCUAGUUGGUAAGGUAACGGCUUACCAAGGCAACGAUGCGUAGCCGACCUGAGAGGGUGAUCGGCCACCCUGGAACUGAGACACGGUCCAGCCUCCUACGGGAGGCAGCAGUGGGGAAUUUUCCGCAAUGGGCGAAAGCCUGACGGAGCAACGCCGCGGGGGUGAAGAAGGUUUUCGGAUCGUAAAACUCUGUUAUUAGGGAAAAAAAAAUGUGUAAGUAACUAUGCCCGUCUUGACGGUACCAAAUCAGAAAGCCACGGCUAACUACGU